UGAAGGUUAUGGGAAGAGUCUCUUGC
rnacentral:piRNA from 1 species